UACGAGGGGUGCAAGCGUUGCUCGGAAUUAUUGGGCGUAAAGGGUAGGUAGGUGGUCUCAUUUGUCAGGGGUGAAAGCCUUGGGCUUAACUCAAGAAGUGCCUCUGAAACGGUGAGACUGGAGUCCUGGAGAGGGUCGUGGAAUUCCCGGUGUAGCGGUGAAAUGCGUAGAGAUCGGGAGGAACACCAGAGGCGAAGGCGGCGACCUGGACAGGUACUGACACUCAACUACGAAAGCGUGGGGAGCAAACAGG
rnacentral:rRNA from 1 species